CAAGGAAACCAAAUUGGACAGAAGAGCAGUGUUUACUUUUAGCUCAGUUAGUGGAAUAAAAUAAAGCAAUUUUAAAAGGCAAAUUUGGUUCUGGUGUCACAGCUCAAGGAAAGAGGCAGACCUGGGAUAAAAUAUCUCAGCAAAUAAACUCCUCAUUCCUUCUGGUCGUGCGCACCAGCAAGGAAUGUGAAAAGCGAUGGUGGAGGACCACCUGCUAAACAACUGUCUCAGGUAGCGGAAACAGUAUUUAAUGUACUGUACUUGGACACUCUGAAACAUCUGUCACUGGGCUGAAGGAAGGCACAGACAGCUCCAUGAUCCAGCUAAUGGGAUUACAACAAAGCAUGGAGCAGUCAGAGGAACUGGGGCCGUCAACGCCGCAGGUGUUCAACCCUUAGCCGGUGUAUCAGAUUAGCCCGCCUGCUGCAGCAAC